rnacentral:rRNA from 1 species
AUUGAACGCUGGCGGCAGGCUUAACACAUGCAAGUCGAGCGGGGUGAUGGUGCUUGCACUAUCACUUAGCGGCGGACGGGUGAGUAAUGCUUAGGAAUCUGCCUAUUAGUGGGGGACAACAUCUCGAAAGGGAUGCUAAUACCGCAUAUGUCCUACGGGAGAAAGCAGGGGAUCACUUGUGACCUUGCGCUAAUAGAUGAGCCUAAGUCGGAUUAGCUAGUUGGUGGGGUAAAGGCCUACCAAGGCGACGAUCAGUAGCGGGUCUGGGAGGAUGAUCCGCCACACUGGGACUGAGACACGGCCAAGACUCCUACGGGAGGCAGCAGUGGGGAAUAUUGGACAAUGGGGGGAACCCUGAUCCAGCCAUGCCGCGUGUGUGAAGAAGGCCUUAUGGUUGUAAAGCACUUUAAGCGAGGAGGAGGCUCUUUUGGUUAAUACCCAAGAUGAGUGGACGUUACUCGCAGAAUAAGCACCGGCUAACUCUGUGCCAGCCGCCGCGGUAA